rnacentral:tRNA from 1 species
GGCUGGCUCAGUCGGUAGAGCAUAUGACUCUUGAUCUCAAGGAGGUGAGUUCAAGCCCCACAUUGGCCA